AUUAUAACUAUUCUAUACUUAUUUUUCAGAAACAAUGCACAGCCAAUGCUAAGGGCUGACCAAACAGGAUAGCACAACCAAUGUUGAAAGAAUGACAAAGUACGAUGGUACAGCCAGCGUUAAAGGAUGGAAAAAUACGAGGGCACAGCCAACGUUCAAGGCAGGCAAAAUACGAUGGCGCCGCCAAUGUUCAAGGCUGGAAAAAUACAAUGGCACAGCCAACGUCCAGGGCUGGCAAAAUACGAUGGCACAGCCUAAGUUCAGGGCUGGCAAAAUACGAUGGCACAGCCAACGUUCAGGGCUGGCAAAACACGAUGGCACAGCCAACGUUCAAGGCUGGCAAAAUACGAUGGCACAGCCAACGUUAAAACAAGCUUGCCAAUAUUCGGGGUACAUACGACGGACAAUGUUGGCUGAGCCAACGUUGGGCUAUGAUAGGUUUCCAAUAUUGGACCAGUGUGAUUUUAGGUGUAGCAAAACCCCAAAAGCCAACGUCGGUCCAAUAUUUCUGCCAAUAUUUGCCAACGUUGGUCCAAGAUCGGCCCAAUGCUGUUGUGCUGACUGGGAUGCUUAAAGAACAGCGCUACAUGCCGCAGGGGCUGGCUUCGGGGCGCGGCGUAAGAGGAUGUCUACAUAAUAUUUAUUUGGACAACACAUUCAUUCUGCUUGUUGGGUACUUUACAGUGCCUUGAUAGGUAUGUAUAGUUUCUUAAAUUGUCAGUUUAACUUAUCUUCAAUAAGUUCCUGAAUUUGUACUAGCAUUUUGAGCUGUUUAUUAUGUUUGCAAUUCUUUUGCUCAAAAUUUCUUUUCUAGCACUGUGCCAUAAAUUAAUCAUAACAUUGCAUAUAAGUUCUUUUUUUAGGGAAAUAUUUCAUUUUCCAGUGGACUAGUUUUUUUUUGCUACGUGUGCUCAAAUUUCAGAAACAGAAAGUUGAGCAGUGUUUCUUGCUCUGUGUAUGGGGUACUUCGCGGCUACAGUAUGUCAUUAAGCAAGUACCAACUAGGCCAGCAAACAGCCUUGUUAAAACAGAAACUGAACUUGGCAAAACUACGUUUUGAACUAUUCAAAAUUAUGUUUUUCCAGGGCAAAAAAAAUAUUUUUAACAAAAGUAACUUUAAAAUAAUUGUUCCUGGUUGAAAACCUGCACCUUAAGUAAGUUUCAUGCAAAUCCAGUAAAGUGACCAAAGCCAACUGUGCAUUCUUAUGUUGAUUGGGCCAUGUGUACACUGUUAUUUGCAGCAAAAGCACUACGACAUCUGUAUAGAGCAUAAGAUGGAAAGCCGGGCUAGUUGGUAUGCAUUCAUGGUAAUUUAACAGCGCGAAAAAACUAGAGACAAAAGAAAAGGGCUGUGCAAAAGAAAGGGGGUGAAGCGCUUGUCCUGUGCAGUACACCCCUUUCUUUUCUCUCGUUUUUUGUGCAGGUAAAUUACCAUGAGCAUAGAGCAUGUCAAAUUUAAGUUGUAGAUCUGAUAACCUAAAGCUUGUCACUGCACGAAUUAUGAGAAUGACAUUAUUUACAGUGCCAUCGCUUAUUUACAGUGCCACCGCCUGGAUCAUCUGCUCCCUCUGCACUAGCAGGUGAUGGUGAAAGCAUUGGCGACCUGGACCUUGGCAGCAACCAAGUCGAGCAUGGCGACAGCGAAGUCGAGCAUGGCGACAGCGAAGUCGAGCUCUGCAACAGCCAGGGCGAGCUGGUGACCCCAACAAUGGACUUGACGGCAGCCAGUGGGACCAAUACCGUUUUGUAGAUCAAACCGUCAUUGGUUCAAGCAGAGAUGAUGGCAAGAUCUAAGCCGGGUGCAAACCGAUG
rnacentral:lncRNA from 1 species